rnacentral:rRNA from 1 species
CGAACGGGUGAGUAAUGCGUGACCAACCUGCCCCAUGCUCCAGAAUAGCUCUUGGAAACGGGUGGUAAUGCUGGAUGCUCCAACUUGACGCAUGUCUUGUUGGGAAAGUGUUUAGUGGCAUGGGAUGGGGUCGCGUCCUAUCAGCUUGUAGGCGGGGUAAUGGCCCACCUAGGCUUCGACGGGUAGCCGGCCUGAGAGGGCGGACGGCCACAUUGGGACUGAGAUACGGCCCAGACUCCUACGGGAGGCAGCAGU